rnacentral:rRNA from 1 species
UACGUAGGGGGCAAGCGUUGUCCGGAUUUACUGGGCGUAAAGCGCGCGUAGGCGGAAGCGCCAGUCCAACCUGAAAGCCCCCGGCUCAACCGGGGAGAGUGGCUGGAAACUGCGCUUCUUGAGGGCGAGAGAGGAGGGUGGAAUUCCUGGUGUAGCGGUGAAAUGCGUAGAGAUCAGGAGGAACACCCGGGGCGAAGGCGGCCCUCUGGCUCGACCCUGACGCUGAGGCGCGAAAGCGUGGGGAGCGAACGGG